GAUGAAGAACGUAGCGAAAUGCGAUACGUAAUGUGAAUUGCAGAAUUCAGUGAAUCAUCGAAUCUUUGAACGCACAUUGCGCCUGCCAGCACUCUGGCAGGCAUGCCUGUUCGAGCGUCAUUUCAACCAUCAAGCCCUAGGCUUGCGUUGGAGCCCUGCGGCUGCCGCAGGCCCCUAAAAGCAGUGGCGGGCUCGCUAUCACACCGAGUGCAGUAGAUUACUCUUCGCUCAGGGCGUGUGGCGGGUUCCAGCCGUGAAACCCCCUACUUCUCAAGGUUGACCUCGGAUCAGGUAGGAAUACCCGCUGAACUUAAGCUUAUCAAUAAGCGGAGGA
rnacentral:misc_RNA from 1 species